rnacentral:rRNA from 1 species
UACGUAGGGUGCAAGCGUUAAUCGGAAUUACUGGGCGUAAAGCGUGCGCAGGCGGCUUUGCAAGACAGAUGUGAAAUCCCCGGGCUCCAACCUGGGAACUGCAUUUGUGACUGCAAGGCUAGAGUACGGUAGAGGGGGAUGGAAUUCCGCGUGUAGCAGUGAAAUGCGUAGAUAUCGGAAGGAACAUCAGUGGCGAAAGCGGCUUCCUGGACCAGUACCGACGGUCAGGCACGAAAGCGUGGGGAGCAAACAGG